GACGAACGCUGGCGGCGUGCCUAAUACAUGCAAGUAGGACGCAGUUGCGAACGGGUGAGUAACGCGUAGGUAACUACCUAUUAGAGGGGGAUAAAUAUUGGAAACGAUAGCUAAUACCGCAUACUAGUAGAUGGACAUGCGUUGUAUUAGCUAGUAGGUAGGGUAAUGGCCUACCUAGGCAACGAUACAUAGCCGACCUGAGAGAUGAUGCGGCCACACUGGAACCGAGAAACGGCCCAGACUCCGACGGAAGGCAUCAGUAGGGAAGCUUCGGCAAUGGAGGGAACCCUGACCGAGCAACGCCGCGUGCGUGAAGAAGGUUUUCGGAUCGUAAAGCUCUGUUGUUAAGGAAGCCGUACUUAACCAGAAAGGGACGGCUAACUACGUGCCAGCAGCCGCGGUAAUAC
rnacentral:rRNA from 1 species